GUAAGAUUGCGCUUAAGUGAGAAGCUCCGAGGGCAUGAAGGGCACUGAAAUGGCCUCUCGCCUGUGUGGAUACGCAGAUGAUCUCUCAGAGUGCACUUUAGCGAGAAGCUCUGAGGGCAUGAAGGGCACUGAAAUGGCCUCUCGCCUGUGUGGGUACGCAGGUGAUCAGUAAGAGUGCGCUUAAGUGAGAAGCUUCGAGGGCAUGAAGGGCACUGAAAUGGCCUCUCGCCUGUGUGAAUGCGGAGGUGUACAUUGAGA
rnacentral:lncRNA from 1 species